rnacentral:lncRNA from 1 species
UCUUGCUUCCAAAUCCGCAGUUACAAUACUUGACAUCAUACUCGUUCUCCAUCUGUCGGCUACCGCGCGGCGAAGAUGACCAUAAACCUGAGUUCGAACUCAUGCUUCUCUUCGAAUAGUGAUAACGUGAAAAAACCCUAGCCUAAUUCCACAAGAUUCCGUUCUUUUCUCUCAAUUUCUGGAAGAAGUAUUCGAAAAUUAGGGUUCUUGCUAUUUGAACCCUAAAUUGUAAUUAGAUUACCGUUGCAUUUCGUUGGUGUGGGCCCGUCUCGAAUUAAAAAAAAAA